rnacentral:tmRNA from 1 species
GGGGAUGUUUUGGUUUUGACAGCAUUGAUGUCGGAUAGUAAGCACGUCGGGCGCUGUGGGCCGGCCCGUUAAUCCCGAUCCUCAAAAAUUCAGUUGGCAACAACAACUACGCACUCGCUGCCUAAUUGACCAAGUCAUUUAGCUUAAUCCGCAUCGCCUAGGCUGCGAUGCCGACGAGUAUCCCGCGGAACUUUAUGCCUGCUAUGUUCCGGCCACGGGGUAUCAUUCAAGCGGGACGCACAGACCUGACUCGUCUAAGGUCUGCCAAGAUUCAGACGAUAAGCCUGCGGUGGCCUGCCUUCCGGCAGCCACGGGUCGAAAAUCAAAGAAAGGAUAAGCGUGUAGAAAGCUACCUGGUGCGAUGUUUGGACGGCGGUUCGAGUCCGCCCAUCUCCAC